GGAACAGUUCAGGCCUGCUCUCCGAAGGCAGUUGGAACUCAUUGAAGAGGGCAGGAGGGAGAGGAUGGGGAGUAGUGAGGAGAAACAGAGACAGGAGAAGAGACAGAGACAGGCAAGGAGACAGGGACAGGAGAAGAGACUGUGACAGGGACCGAGAGAGACAAAGGAAAAAAAUUUAAAAAAAAGCGAAGGCAACACAGAGGAGGGUGGGGUAAAUGU